CAUUGGAUGAUAAAUCUUGAAUGCGUGUCAUAAAAAUCCUCCAUAAAAUGAAAUCAACUGUGGGUAUAUCGUAGAAACGGUAACAAAUGCGGUGAAAAUAGCAGGCGCAAGUGGUACUCGGCGUUGGUGUAUCCAAUUAAACAUAAAUGAAAUCGGUAAUAGUAUACAGCCUAUAAUGGUUAAUAUUAUAUUUUACAUAUGGGAGGAAUAAUCAUGUCAGAAAAAAUCGAAUUAAAAGUGAGCCAAACAUUAAAAGAAAAGCCUGAUUUGAAUCAACUCACUUUUGGUGAAGUCUUUACCGAUUACAUGUUAAGUUUUGAAUACUCAACAGCAGAAGGAUGGCACGAUUUAAAGAUUAUUCCUUAUGGUCCAAUUGAACUGUCACCAGCUGCACAAAGUCUCCAUUACGGACAAGCUGUUUUUGAAGGAUUAAAAGCAUAUAAGCAUGAUGGCGAAGUUGUCUUGUUUAGACCUGAGGAAAACUUUAAACGAAUUAAUCAAUCAUUAGAACGCUUAAAAAUGCCGCAAAUUGAUGAGGCGUUAUUAUUAGAAGGAUUAAAACAACUCGUCGAUAUCGAUCGUGAUUGGGUGCCGAGUGGAGAAGGUCAAUCGCUCUAUAUUCGACCAUUUGUUUUCGCUACACAAGGCGCUCUUGGGGUGCAUCCUUCACAUGAGUAUCGCUUAUUAAUCAUUUUAUCGCCAUCUGGUUCAUAUUAUGGCGGAGAUUCAUUACGUCCAACGAAAAUUUACGUAGAAGAUGAGUAUGUACGUGCAGUACGUGGCGGUGUCGGAUUUGCAAAAGUAGCUGGCAACUAUGCAGCAAGCUUACUCGCACAAGCCAACGCAAAUCAACUCGGCUUUGACCAAGUGUUAUGGUUAGAUGGUGUGGAGCAAAAAUAUGUGGAAGAAGUGGGAAGCAUGAACAUCUUCUUCGUCAUUGAUGGGAAAGUGGUCACACCGUCAUUAAAUGGUAGUAUUUUACCUGGUAUUACGCGUAAAACAGUAUUAGAAUUAGCUGCAUCAUUAGGCUAUGAAACUGAAGAACGCCGUAUUUCUAUUGAUGAAUUGUAUGAAUUACAUCAAAGCGGUGCCUUGACAGAAGUAUUUGGUACAGGUACGGCCGCUGUUAUCUCGCCAGUGGGUACGUUGCAAUAUAGAGAAGAAGAAAUCGUGAUUAAUAACAAUGAAACAGGUCCAAUUACGCAAAAACUAUAUGAUCAUUAUACAGGCAUUCAAAGUGGACAAUUAGAGGAUCCACACGGUUGGCGCGUUGUGGUUCCGCAUUAUGAAAGAUAAUAACAAUGAAAAGCUAGGAAUCCUGAUAUGACGGGGUUUCUAGCUUUUUAAGCAUUUUAUCAAUACAGUUCAUGACUGUUUUACCCGAGUCCAAUUCAGAACUCGAUUUAAAACCUAAACGCUAUUAAAACGAUUGAAGAUGGUUUGCGCAUUGAUAUGUGGUGCUUUCUGCAAUCAUAAAAAUCAUCUUAACAUCAAUGUUCUAUACACGCUUGAAAUCAUCUGUUAAGCUGUGAUGGGGAGAGGAACUUGUUCCUCGAGUCGUUGAUUUCACACUGCCGAGAAAAGCCUCUAGCUAGAACAACGGUGCCCGUACCGCAAACCGACACAGGUAGUCAAGAUGAGAAUUCUAAGGUGAGCGAGCGAACUCUCGUUAAGGAACUCGGCAAAAUGACCCCGUAACUUCGGGAGAAGGGGUGCUCUUUGAGGUUCACGCUUCGAAGAGCCGCAGUGAAUAGGCCCAAGCGACUGUUUAUCAAAAACACAGGUCUCUGCUAAACCGUAAGGUGACGUAUAGGGGCUGACGCCUGCCCGGUGCUGGAAGGUUAAGAGGAGUGGUUAGCGCAAGCGAAGCUACGAAUCGAAGCCCCAGUAAACGGCGGCCGUAACUAUAACGGUCCUAAGGUAGCGAAAUUCCUUGUCGGGUAAGUUCCGACCCGCACGAAAGGCGUAACGAUUUGGGCACUGUCUCAACGAGAGACUCGGUGAAAUCAUAGUACCGGUGAAGAUGCCGGUUACCCGCGACAGGACGGAAAGACCCCGUGGAGCUUUACUGUAGCCUGAUAUUGAAAUUCGGUACAGUUUGUACAGGAUAGGUAGGAGCCUUAGAAGCGUGAGCGCUAGCUUACGUGGAGGCAUUGGUGGGAUACUACCCUAAUUGUAUUGGAUUUCUAACCCGCAGCACUUAUCGUGCUGGGAGACAGUGUCAGGCGGGCAGUUUGACUGGGGCGGUCGCCUCCUAAAGAGUAACGGAGGCGCUCAAAGGUUCCCUCAGAAUGGUUGGAAAUCAUUCAUAGAGUGUAAAGGCAUAAGGGAGCUUGACUGCGAGACCUACAAGUCGAGCAGGGUCGAAAGACGGACUUAGUGAUCCGGUGGUUCCGCAUGGAAGGGCCAUCGCUCAACGGAUAAAAGCUACCCCGGGGAUAACAGGCUUAUCUCCCCCAAGAGUUCACAUCGACGGGGAGGUUUGGCACCUCGAUGUCGGCUCAUCGCAUCCUGGGGCUGUAGUCGGUCCCAAGGGUUGGGCUGUUCGCCCAUUAAAGCGGUACGCGAGCUGGGUUCAGAACGUCGUGAGACAGUUCGGUCCCUAUCCGUCGUGGGCGUAGGAAAUUUGAGAGGAGCUGUCCUUAGUACGAGAGGACCGGGAUGGACAUACCUCUGGUGUACCAGUUGUCGUGCCAACGGCAUAGCUGGGUAGCUAUGUAUGGACGGGAUAAGUGCUGAAAGCAUCUAAGCAUGAAGCCCCCCUCGAGAUGAGAUUUCCCAACUUCGGUUAUAAGAUCCCUCAAAGAUGAUGAGGUGAAUAGGUUCGAGGUGGAAGCGUAGCGAUACGUGGAGCUGACGAAUACUAAUCGAUCGAAGACUUAAUC
rnacentral:rRNA from 1 species